GACAGUGUGGUGCAGUGGUUGAAUGUUCGACUACGAUUCUGGAGACCAGGGUUCAAAUCCCUGCUCAGCCA